rnacentral:rRNA from 1 species
UAGGCUGAAACUCGCCUACAUGAAGCUGGAGUACUAGUAAUCGCAGAUCAGAAUGCUGCGGUGAAUGCGUUCCCGAGUCUUGUACACACCGCCCGUCACACCACGGAAGUUGGGGGCGCCCGAAGCCACUCAGCUAACCCUUUUGGGAAGCGAGUGUCGAAGGUGAAAUCAAUAACUGGGGUGAAGUCGUAACAAGGUAAC